CUGGAGACUGCCAGGGUCCUUCUGAAGCUGAGGAGUCGUUGGCUGCUGAGCCUUCGAGUGGCAUCCAGAGAUGACUCAGGUCACUCCAUGCUGGUGAUGGUCCGGAUCUCACGGACCAGAAAGAGCCCAGAGGAUUUGCCAAAGCACUGGAUGAGAAAUGAGAGAGAGGGGGAGGCGUCAUGGUGACACGCAGGUGUUUGGUCCAAACCUGGGAGAAUGAAUGGACUGUCGUUUCCGGAGACCCUGCUUCUCAGUCAGAGAGAGCGUCUACAUCUGAAGAACCAGAGCACCUCCACGUGCCACGGAGCCAGGACCCAAGCUCCACGAGAAUAGAAACUCCUUCAUUUGAGACCUUGCCCUGUGUAUCUCUUCACCUGGCUGUUGACUUGUAUCCUGUACAGUACCCGUUAUUGAGCUGGUAAACAACAUGGAAAAACUAAAACCACCACCACCUCUCUGGCUCCAGAGAUUCUAAGACUUCAGGCCCCAUGGAGACCUGGACAGCACUAAACAUCUGGGUGAACAGAUAAGGGCUAAUGUCCACUGUCUCCCUUCGGCCCUGCCUACUGGGAACCUCAUCUAGCUACAUUUUGCCAACCAUUUGAAGGGUAUCAGGGCUUCCAGUUGGGAGCCACCUUGAACACUCUUCGCUGAAAGAGACUUCCUGGAACAUCUCUGAUAUCUGAACCGCAGCGUGCAGUUGGAUUUCGGCCGGUUCUGCUGACGAUGUUGGUGUGAGUGACUUGGAUGAGUCCACACUUGGGCUCUGCUGCUGACUUGCUGUGUCAUCCAGUGAGUCCCUGACCUGCUUGGUGCCAAACGGUAACCGGAGUA